rnacentral:misc_RNA from 1 species
UGUGGGAGCGAGCUUGCUCGCGAUAGCGGUGUAACAGUCGAUGAAACUGUUGACUGUUAAAAUGCCAUCGCGAGCAAGCUCGCUCCCACA